rnacentral:rRNA from 1 species
UAGGGAAUAUUGGGCAAUGGAGGCAACUCUGACCCAGCAACGCCGCGUGAAGGAAGAAGGUUUUCGGAUUGUAAACUUCUUUUAUAAGGGACAAAGAAAAUGAUGGUACCUUAUGAAUCAGCCACGGCAAACUAUGUGCCAGCAGCCGCGGUAAUACAUAGGUGGCAAGCGUUAUCCGGAAUGACUGGGCGUAAAGGGUGCGUAGGUGGUUUUUUAAGUUAGAUGUGAAAUCCCGGGGCUCAACCCCGGAACUGCAUUUAAAACUGAAAGACUGGAGUGCGGUAGAGGUAAGUGGAAUUCCUAGUGUAGCGGUAAAAUGCGUAGAGAUUAGGAGGAACACCGGUGGCGAAGGCGACUUACUGGACCGUAACUGACACUGAGGCACGAAAGCGUGGGGAGCAAACA